GCAUCGAUGAAGUACGCAGCGAAAUGCGAUAACUAAUGUGAAUUGCAGAAUUCAGUGAAUCAUCGAGCCUUUGAACGCACAUUGCGCCCUCUGGUAUUCCGGAGGGCAUGCCUGUCCGAGCGUCAUUGCUGCCCUCAAGCCCGGCUUGUGUGUUGGGCCCCGUCCCCCCCGCCGGGGGGACGGGCCCGAAAGGCAGCGGCGGCACCGCGUCCGGUCCUCGAGCGUAUGGGGCUUCGUCACCCGCUCUAGUAGGCCCGGCCGGCGCCAGCCGACCCCCAACCUUUAAUUAUCUCAGGUUGACCUCGGAUCAGGUAGGGAUACCCGCUGAACUUAAGCAUAUCAAUAAGCGGAGGA
rnacentral:rRNA from 1 species